CACGUAGGGGACGAGCGUUGUCCGGAUUCAUUGGGCGUAAAGCGCGCGUAGGCGGCUCGGAAAGUCGGUUGUGAAAUGCCGGGGCUCAACCCCGGGACUGCGUCCGAUACUUCCGGGCUGGAGGUAGGUAGGGGAGAUCGGAAUUCCUGGUGUAGCGGUGAAAUGCGCAGAUAUCAGGAGGAACACCGGUGGCGAAGGCGGAUCUCUGGGCCUUACCUGACGCUGAGACGCGAAAGCGUGGGGAGCAAACAGG
rnacentral:rRNA from 1 species